rnacentral:rRNA from 1 species
GAUGAACGCUGACAGAAUGCUUAACACAUGCAAGUCUACUUGAAUUUGGGUUUUUUAACUUAGAUUUGGGUGGCGGACGGGUGAGUAACGCGUAAAGAACUUGCCUCACAGAUAGGGACAACAUUUAGAAACGAAUGCUAAUACCUGAUAUUAUGAUUUUAGGGCAUCCUAGAAUUAUGAAAGCUAUAUGCGCUGUGAGAGAGCUUUGCGUCCCAUUAGCUAGUUGGAGAGGUAACGGCUCACCAAGGCGAUGAUGGGUAGCCGGCCUGAGAGGGUGAACGGCCACAAGGGGACUGAGACACGGCCCUUACUCCUACGGGAGGCAGCAGUGGGGAAUAUUGGACAAUGGACCAAGAGUCUGAUCCAGCAAUUCUGUGUGCACGAUGAAGUUUUUCGGAAUGUAAAGUGCUUUCAGUUGAGAAGAAAAAAAUGACGGUACCAACAGAAGAAGUGACGGCUAAAUACGUGCCAGCAGCCGCGGUAAUACGUAUGUCACAAGCGUUAUCCGGAUUUAUUGGGCGUAAAGCGCGUCUAGGUGGUUAUGUAAGUCUGAUGUGAAAAUGCAGGGCUCAACUCUGUAUUGCGUUGGAAACUGUGUAACUAGAGUACUGGAGAGGUAAGCGGAACUACAAGUGUAGAGGUGAAAUUCGUAGAUAUUUGUAGGAAUGCCGAUGGGGAAGCCAGCUUACUGGACAGAUACUGACGCUAAAGCGCGAAAGCGUGGGUAGCAAACAGG